rnacentral:rRNA from 1 species
UACAGAGGGUGCGAGCGUUAAUCGGAAUUACUGGGCGUAAAGCGUGCGUAGACGGUUAUUUAAGUCGGGUGUGAAAGCCCCGGGCUCAACCUGGGAAUUGCAUUCGAGACUGAAUAGCUAGGGUACGGUAGAGGGAAGCGGAAUUUCCGGUGUAGCGGUGAAAUGCGUAGAUAUCGGAAGGAACAUCAGUGGCGAAAGCGGCUUCCUGGACCAGAACUGACGAUCAGGCACGAAAGCGUGGGGAGCAAACAGG